GAUGAACGCUGGCGGCGUGCCUAAUACAUGCAAGUCGAGCGAACAGACGAGGAGCUUGCUCCUCUGACGUUAGCGGCGGACGGGUGAGUAACACGUGGAUAACCUACCUAUAAGACUGGGAUAACUUCGGGAAACCGGAGCUAAUACCGGAUAAUAUAUUGAACCGCAUGGUUCAAUAGUGAAAGACGGUUUUGCUGUCACUUAUAGAUGGAUCCGCGCUGCAUUAGCUAGUUGGUAAGGUAACGGCUUACCAAGGCAACGAUGCGUAGCCGACCUGAGAGAGUGAUCGGCCACACUGGAACUGAGACACGGUCCAGACUCCUACGGGAGGCAGCAGUAGGGAAUCUUCCGCAAUGGGCGAAAGCCUGACGGAGCAAAGCCGCGUGAGUGAUGAAGGUCUUCGGAUCGUAAAACUCUGUUAUUAGGGAAGAACAAAUGUGUAAGUAACUAUGCACGUCUUGACGGUACCUAAUCAGAAAGCCACGGCUAACUACGUG
rnacentral:rRNA from 1 species